rnacentral:rRNA from 1 species
GAUGAACGCUGGCGGCGUGCCUAAUACAUGCAAGUCGAGCGAACAGAUAAGGAGCUUGCUCCUUUGACGUUAGCGGCGGACGGGUGAGUAACACGUGGAUAACCUACCUAUAAGACUGGGAUAACUUCGGGAAACCGGAGCUAAUACCGGAUAACAUAUUGAACCGCAUGGUUCAAUAGUGAAAGGCGGCUUUGCUGUCACUUAUAGAUGGAUCCGCGCCGUAUUAGCUAGUUGGUAAGGUAACGACUCACCAAGGCAACGAUACGUAGCCGACCUGAGAGGGUGAUCGGCCACACUGGAACUGAGACACGGUCCAGACUCCUACGGGAGGCAGCAGUAGGGAAUCUUCCGCAAUGGGCGAAAGCCUGACGGAGCAACGCCGCGUGAGUGAUGAAGGUCUUCGGAUCGUAAAACUCUGUUAUCAGGGAAGAACAAAUGUGUAAGUAACUGUGCACAUCUUGACGGUACCUGAUCAGAAAGCCACGGCUAACUACGUG